AUGGAUCUUAGGGCCGCGAAGUUUGCUAAUAAACUGUUUAGCAUUCAACAGAAUGCAUUUAUUAAAGGGGGACAUAUUGUGGACGGGAUACUAUCCUUACAUGAGGUGAUGCACUAUACUCAUGUGAAAAAAGAAGUGGGAGUGAUCUUUAAGAUCGACUUUGAGAAAGCCUAUGACAAAGUGAAUUGGGAAUUCCUACUUGAUUGCCAUGUUAAACGUGGCUUUAACUCAAAGUGGUGUGGGUGGGUGUCGCAAAUCCUAAGGAAUGGCACGAUGAGUGUCAAGAUUAAUGACGAGACAGGUCCUUAUAUCCAGAGUGCUAAAGGGGUGCGACAAGGCGACCCACACUCUACAUUCAUGUUCAAUCUUGCA
rnacentral:rRNA from 1 species